CAGUCGCCACGGUAAUGCGAAGGGUGCAGGCGCUAAUCGGAAUUACUGGGCGUAAAGCGUGCGUAGGCGGUGAGUUAAGUCUGCUGUGAAAUCCCCGGGCUCAACCUGGGAAUGGCAGUGGAUACUGGCUCGCUAGAGUGUGUCAGAGGAUGGUGGAAUUCCCGGUGUAGCGGUGAAAUGCGUAGAGAUCGGGAGGAACAUCAGUGGCGAAGGCGGCCAUCUGGGACAACACUGACGCUGAGGCACGAAAGCGUGGGGAGCAAACAGGAUUAGAUACCCCAGUAGUCCCUGUCUCUUAUAC
rnacentral:rRNA from 1 species